GUUAUUGAGAGUUUGAAAAUCACAAGCAUAAACUAAGACAGUCUACAUCAGAUUACAUGAAGGAAGUCUGAUCAUUAAGUUUUAAUCCCAGCUAGCUGGAACCUGUCAAGCAGGCAAUAUCCCAGGCAGCUAUAAUGACGAGGAGGAGGAGAAGAAAGAGGGGAGGGGGCUCGUGUUUGCAGAGCUGUACAGGGGCGUUUGUUUCACAGCACGGACGCUGUCUGACUCUGAUGUGCAGCCACCCAGCUAACUCUGCCCCCUCCAUCAAAUUGAACACACCCUCACAAAAAAGGACUGGACUAAUACACUGGAGCAACUAGAACGAGGAACCAAACAAAGAGGUGUAGGUCUGGAACCAGUCUAUCAAUCAAUAUACAAAACUAAAACACACAAUAAUGGGGUGAAGAGGACAGAACAUUCUGGAUUCCAUUUCUGGACCUGACUGGAGCAUUUUCAUGAACCAACAGCAGGAUAUUCUCACAGUGACAGAUGGUUUGGAAUCGAUUAUGAACACAGCAGAACAAAUCCCAGGAGCAGCAACACAUUCCUCCAUUUGACCAGCUCAAACCAGACUUUUAUAAAGAACCGUCACGAACACCCAGAUGAAAGAACAGAGAGCUGAUGAUCCAUUCAGGGAUGUGUGGAUACAUUUGAAUUGAGUUGAUGUUACGCUCCAAAACUGCCAUCAGAAAAGAUUCAUAUGAGUCUGACCUGCCACCUCUACGGUAUCAUUUACUGAUCAACAAUCAAUACUGCAGCUCAUCUGCACAUUUCUUUCUUCAAAUGUUUCAUCCAGUCUGAAAAACAAACAAACUAAUCUACUGUAUGUGUGUAUGUGUAUGUUUGUGUAUAAUAUCAUAGCCUUUCACAUCUCUUUUCUUGGGAAAUUGA